rnacentral:rRNA from 1 species
CCUACGGGUGGCAGCAGUGGGGAAUAUUGGGCAAUGGGCGCAAGCCUGACCCAGCAACGCCGCGUGAAGGAAGAAGGCUUUCGGGUUGUAAACUUCUUUUCUCAGGGACGAAGAAAGUGACGGUACCUGAGGAAUAAGCCACGGCUAACUACGUGCCAGCAGCCGCGGUAAUACGUAGGUGGCAAGCGUUAUCCGGAUUUACUGGGUGUAAAGGGCGUGUAGGCGGGAAAGCAAGUCAGAUGUGAAAACCAUGUGCUAAACCUGUGGCCUGCAUUUGAAACGGUUUUUCUUGAGUACUGGGGAGGCAGACGGAAGUCGUGGGGUAGCGGUGAAAUGAGUAGAGAUGAGGAGGA